rnacentral:rRNA from 1 species
AUUGAACGCUGGCGGCAGGCCUAACACAUGCAAGUCGAGCGAGCGGCGGACGGGUGAGUAAUGUAUGGGGACUGCCCGAUAGAGGGGGAUAACUAAUGGAAACGGUAGCUAAUAACGCAUACUAUCGGAUAACCCAUAUGGGAGUAGCUAGUAGGUGAGGUAAUGGCUCACCUAGGCGACGAUCCCUCGCUGGGUUGAGAGGAUGAUCAGCAACACUGGGACUGAGCCACGGCCCAGACUCCUACGGAGGAAGCAGUGGGGAAUAUUGCACAAUGGGCGCAAGCCUGCUGCAUCCAGGCCGCGUGUAUUAAGAAGGCCCUAGGUUUGUAAAGUACUUUCAGUCGGGAGGCGUUACCGACAGAAGAAGCACCGGCUAACUCCGUGCCAGCAGCCGCGGUAAUUC